AAAACGGUCCUUUUCAGGACCAUUUAAUUAAAAAGAAGUUAAAAU
rfam:Trachymyrmex zeteki contig4552, whole genome shotgun sequence.